rnacentral:rRNA from 1 species
AGAGUUUGAUCCGUGGCUCAGGACGAACGCUGGCGACGUGCCUAACACAUGCAAGUCGAGCGGAGGGAAGGGCUUCGGCCCCGAACUUAGCGGCGGACGGGUGAGUAACGCGUGAGCAACCUGUCCCAGACAGGGGGAUACCAGAUGGAAACAUCUGCUAAUACCGCAUAAGACCACAGUUUCGCAUGGGACAGUGGUAAAAGGAGGAAUCCGGUUUGGGGUGGGCUCGCGUCCGAUUAGCUGGUUGGUGAGGUAACGGCCCACCAAGGCGACGAUCGGUAGCCGACCUGAGAGGGUGAUCGGCCACAUUGGAACUGAGACACGGUCCAAACUCCUACGGGAGGCAGCAGUGGGGAAUAUUGGGCAAUGGGCGAAAGCCUGACCCAGCAACGCCGCGUGAGGGAAGAAGGUUUUCGGAUUGUAAACCUCUGUCCUAAGUGACGAAGGAAGUGACGGUAGCUUAGGAGGAAGCCCCGGCUAACUACGUGCC